rnacentral:snoRNA from 1 species
CUGCAUUCAAGGGGCCAAGUGUGCAAAGGCUGCAAAGAGCAGCCUCUUUGGUAGCAUAUAAAGCUUGUCAUUUGGCAAAAGGAAACUUGGAGACAGUC